AAGUCGUAACAAGGUCUCCGUUGGUGAACCAGCGGAGGGAUCAUUAAAGAGUUAAACAACUCCUAAACCCAUGUGAACCUACCUUUGUUGCCUCGGCAGGUCUGCAACUUACCCUGAGGGGACCUACCCUGUAGGGACCUUACCCGGUAGUUGCGGGCAUAACCUGCCGGUGGUCUACUAAACUCUGUUUACUAUGUUAUUCUGAAUAGUAUAACUAAAUAAGUUAAAACUUUCAACAACGGAUCUCUUGGUUCUG
rnacentral:misc_RNA from 1 species